UACAGAGGGUGCGAGCGUUAAUCGGAAUUACUGGGCGUAAAGCGUGCGUAGACGGCCCGGAAAGUCGGAUGUGAAAUCCCGGGGCUCAACCCCGGGCCUGCAUCCGAUACUCCCGGGCUGGAGGCAGGUAGGGGAGAUCGGAAUUCCUGGUGUAGCAGUGAAAUGCGUAGAUAUCAGGAGGAACACCGGUGGCGAAGGCGCCACUCGUGGGCCGGAUACU
rnacentral:rRNA from 1 species